ACACGACUCUCGGCAACGGAUAUCUAGGCUCUCGCAUCGAUGAAGAACGUAGCAAAAUGCGAUACUUGGUGUGAAUUGCAGAAUCCCGUGAAUCAUCGAGUUUUUGAACGCAAGUUGCGCCCGAAGCCAUCCGGCCGAGGGCACGUCUGCCUGGGCGUCACGCAUCUCGUCGCCACCCCCUCCUCCCGCCCUC
rnacentral:rRNA from 1 species